AUGUUCUAUGGGUGUUUGGCUGACCAGAAGUGGAAGAUAUGGUUUCAUUUAGAAGGAAGAAACCCUGUGAAAAGGGGUAUAUAUGAGACAGCCAUUUCUUUUCUUACUCUACAAUCACUCAUUGCUAGUGAAGGUUAUGGGGAGAGUGAUUACAUGUACUAUGUGAAGGAGGAGGAAAUUGGAUCUGAAAGAGUAAAGUAUUUAGGUAAUGAAGCUAGUGUUCAUGAAAUGUUGGAGUUUUUUCAUCAUGUCAAGGUUGUGAACAUAAGGGUUGUGAGAGAUGUUGAACCUGGAAUUAGUACACAGGCUAAUCAGAAUUACAUGAACACUCAAGAGAGUUGCUGCCUGAAAAAGGUUGUGGAGCAAUCUGAGCUUCAGAAUCAUAUAGAUGAUAGAAAGGCUCAGCUUGAGAGGAGCAGGAUUCAAAGAGAGGUAGAUUUGAACCACUUUGAAGGAGACACUGAAGUGUCUGAAUUUUGUUCUGAUGAUUCAGUUCAUUCAGAUGGGAGUGCUGAAGUUGUUCAACAAAUGGAAAUAGAGUGUGCCUCUGAAGAGGAUACAUCAUUGCAAACUACUGCUAUUGUGAAAUAUGUGAAGAAUCCUGGUCCAACUAGCAGAUGUCACAAUGAGGUAGAGAAUAAAGUUUAG
rnacentral:rRNA from 1 species